rnacentral:rRNA from 1 species
GAUGAACGCUGGCGGCGUGCCUAAUACAUGCAAGUCGAGCGAACAGAUGAGAAGCUUGCUUCUCUGAUGUUAGCGGCGGACGGGUGAGUAACACGUGGGUAACCUACCUAUAAGACUGGGAUAACUCCGGGAAACCGGGGCUAAUACCGGAUAAUAUUUUGAACCGCAUGGUUCAAUAGUGAAAGACGGUUUCGGCUGUCACUUAUAGAUGGACCCGCGCCGUAUUAGCUAGUUGGUAAGGUAACGGCUGACCAAGGCAACGAUACGUAGCCGACCUGAGAGGGUGAUCGGCCACACUGGAACUGAGGCACGGUCCAGACUCCUACGGGAGGCAGCAGUAGGGAAUCUUCCGCAAUGGGCGAAAGCCUGACGGAGCAACGCCGCGUGAGUGAUGAAGGUCUUCGGAUCGUAAAACUCUGUUGUUAGGGAAGAACAAAUUUGUUAGUAACUGAACAAGUCUUGACGGUACCUAACCAGAAAGCCACGGCUAACUACGUGCCAGCAGCCGCGGUAA